rnacentral:rRNA from 1 species
GAUGAACGCUAGCGGCAGGCUUAAUACAUGCAAGUCGAGGGACAGCACAGGUAGCAAUACUGGGUGGUAACCGGCAAACGGGUGCGGAACACGUACACAACCUUCCUUUAAGUGGGGGAUAGCCCAGAGAAAUUUGGAUUAAUACCCCGUAAUAUAGUUGAAUGGCAUCAUUUGAUUAUUAUAGCUACGGCGCUUAAUGAUGGGUGUGCGGCUGAUUAGAUAGUUGGCGGGGUAACGGCCCACCAAGUCUACGAUCAGUAGCUGAUGUGAGAGCAUGAUCAGCCACACGGGGACUGAGAAACGUGCCCGGCGCCUACGGGAGGCAGCAGUAAGGAAUAUUGGUCAAUGGACGCAAGUCUGACCCAGCCAUGCCGCGUGAAAGAUUAAGGUCCUCUGGAUUGUAAACUUCUUUUAUUUGGGACGAAAAAGGGCCUUUCUAGGUCAACUGACGGUACCAGAUGAAUAUGCACCGGCUAACUCCGUGCCAGCCGCCGCGGUAACAC